CCUACGGGAGGCAGCAGUGAGGAAUAUUGGACAAUGGGGGCAACCCUGAUCCAGCCAUGCCGCGUGAGUGAUGAAGGCCUUCGGGUUGUAAACUCCUUUUCUCAGGAAAAAUAAUGAUGGUACCUGAGGAAUAAGCCACGGCUAACUCUGUGCCAGCAGCCGCGGUAAGACAGAGGUGGCGAGCGUUGUUCGGAGUUACUGGGCUUAAAGGGCGAGUAGGCGGUGGGGCAAGUCUGAGGUGGAAUCCUAUGGCUUAACCAUAGAACUGCCUUAGAAACUGCUUUACUUGAGUCAGUGAGGGGAGGGCGGAAUUCCUGGUGUAGCGGUGAAAUGCGUAGAUAUCAGGAGGAAGGCCUGAGGCGAAGGCGGUCCUCUGGCACUGUACUGACGCUGAGGCGCGAAAGCGUGGGGAGCAAACAGGAUUAGAUACCCUAGUAGUCC
rnacentral:rRNA from 1 species